rnacentral:lncRNA from 1 species
CCAUAGGUGCAGCAGAGGAAGUAGCACGAGUUUCACCCCAUAAUGAUAAUACAUUAUUGCUGUUCUCUAUCUCCCAUUUGUUUGCUCUAGGAAGGCAUGGUUCCAUUCUCAACUUUGGGCAAUCAUUUAUUGACAGCUCCUUAAGGUUAGGGAACAUGAAUUCUUUCUCAACAUCCUUGCCAUUGGAGUACAUCGUCUUCCAUGCUUCCAGAUUUUCCAUGUGGUAUAGACAAAAUCUCUUCAGCUGAGGGAAGGCUCUUGCGCCACCACAAAAAUCCUCUUCGAUGAUCGUAAUGCUGUCCAUUUCUCCAAUAAUUAGCUCUCUAAGGUUUUGUAAUUGACCUAAUGCAGGCAAGCUGUUGCAUUUACAUAUAUCCCACAGUUCAAUCUUGCUAAGUUCUGGUAGAUAAAGCUUUAUGUUGAUAAGCCAGGGCGGAAAGCUCACACUAUUGUAACCUGUCAUAUUAAACUCCCUCAAGGUGCUUGGUGGAACAAGACUUGCCAACACUUCCACAUCCUCAAGAGACCUGCAAGCAUCACUGGUCCAUUGAAGUUUCAAAUCAUUAAUCCCCAGUUUUUCUAUCAGCUUUAUACUCUGGACCUCUUCUGCAGACUUUACAUUAUCAAGGCAAGUUAUGUGCAACUCAUUAGGAUUUGCAUACUGUAGAAGACCGAUGUUGCUGCUAGAUUGACCUUCAUCAGCUUGGACCACAAAAUGCGGCAACAAGUCAAAAAUCUUUGAUCGGGAGAGUGCAGAUUUUUCCAGUUUGCGGCACCCGGUGACAUUCAAGAUCUUCACACUAUCCAUUCUAACCAAACAUUCUGGAAGCCUCACUAGAUGCGGACAGCAAGAGAGGUCCAGUGUAUGCAGAUUCCUGAGGUUGCCAAUACUCUCAGGAACACUGACUAUGCUAUCAUUAUUAGACAAGUCCAGAUGCCGCAGAUUAGAAAGGGUACAUAUACGGUCAAUGAAACUGAAUAGCUCAUCUGAGCUCGGAUUCCAGAAGAUAGAUCGUGUGGUAUGUGAUAGACCUAAAUAACGGAGUCCAAUUAGAUUACCAAUGACCUCUGGCAGCCCCUCAAGAAAUUGACCCAAUACAUAACCUAUUUGCAUUGAUAAAUUCAAGUAUUGGAUGUUGGUGAGGCCACCCAAAGCUUUCGAUACACCUCUAAGCUGAUUGUUGUUUGAUAAAUCCAGAUAUUCCAACUUUUUGAGAUUCACAAAUGAUUUUGGGAGGUUAUCUAUAAAGUGACAAUUCGAGAUAUCAAGAUGCAUCAGACAUCUCAAGUCACCAAUUGACUCAGGCAAUGCUAACAUCCUGGACCAACUCAGGUUGAGGUAAAUUAGUUUCGAGAGCUUGGUGAUACAAUACGGGAUCGUUUGACUUUCAAUCUUGGGGGCAUUGAGAUACCUCAAUUUCACCAAUUCACUUAUGCAAGCUGGCAACUUGUAUAUGCGGCACUCGCUUAAAUCCAAGACUUGUAGGGAUGUUGCAGAUGAAAAUGCAUAGCCGUCUAGCUUAAUUUGGCUACAGUCAAGAUAAGUAGGAGAUUGCAGAUAGCAUGGCGGGACAUAUACCUUUACUUUAAUGUGAGCCAGCAUCUUCUUGUUCUUCUCUAAAUUACACCACUCUGCCAAUUCAGGGCAGUGGUAAAUAGCUAGUCCUUUAAGCCUGGUAAGCUUCUGUAUGCUCUGUGGCAAAGAGUUGAUACCCCUACAAUAUCGGAUCUGAAGUUUCUUGAGAGCAGUAAGGUCACCCAACCAUUCUGGCAGCACUUUUAUUCUUGGACAGUCUAUCAAAGAUAGCUCCUGGAGGGAUGUCAGAUGUCGCACGCUCCCUUGCAAAACAGACAGCUCUUUACACCCUGUGAUGUCCAUUUUCCGGAUAGAGGUGAGGCCACCCAACCAUUUCGGAAGUUCUGGCUGCGUAUUAUCUUCUAGCCACGAUGAUUUGAUAAAUGAGAGGUCUCCAAUUAUGUCUAAUGAGUUGCAUGACAGAUCGGUACAACUUAUUAUCCUUAACUCAGUGAAGGCAGGGAGGUGGUGAAGCAACAUCCACUGAUCCAAAGGCACCUUGCUUAAUUUCACUGUCACAGUCACGUUUGUUAGUGAAACAGAGGACACACUGGAUGCUCCCCUCUCUCCCCAUGAUGAUAAUACAUUAUCGCUGCUCUCUAUUUCCCAUCUCUUAGCUCCAGGUGGGCAUGGUUUCAGUCUUAAAUCUGGGCAAUCACGUAUUAACAGUUCCACAAGGUUUGGGAACAUGAAUUUCAUCACACUACCCAUGUCAUAGGAGUACAUUGUCUUCCACAACUUGAGGUUUUGCAUACGGCAUAAGCAAAAUUUCCUCAAUUCAGGGAAGGCUCUUGCACCGCCACAGAAAUCCCCAUCAAUUAUCGUAAUGCUAUCCAUUACACCUAUAACUAGCUCUUGCAAAUUUGUUAAUUGACCAAGUGGUGGUAAGCUGUUGCAUUUGCGUAUAUCCCACAAUUCAAUCUUGCUAAGACUUGGGAGAUAAAGCGUAAUGUCCAUAACCCAGGCAGGAAACCUCACACUACUGUAACCUGUCAUAUUAAAUUCCCUCAAACUACUUGGUGGCACAAGCUUUCCCAGUACUUCCACAUCCUCCACAGAACCCCCAGCAUCUCUAGUCAACUGUAGUUUCAAAUCGUUAAUAACUUGUCUUUUCAUCAGCUUAGUUAUGUACAAAUCAUUAGAAUUUGUGUACCACCGUAUCAUGAUGUUGAACAGGAAUUGGCUUAGUAUAUUGGAGCUGCAUGUCGGAUCAGUGCAACAUGUGAUGUGUAAAGUACUCAGGGAAGGGAGAUCGUGAAACAACUUCCACUGAUCCAAAGGCGCUAUGUCAGAUCUGACUGUUACACUCACAUCCAUAGGUGCAGCAGAGGAGGUAGCACGAGUUUCUCCCCAUAAUGAUAAUACAUUAUUGCUAUUCUGUAUCUCCCAUUUGUUUGCUCUAGGAAGGCAUGGUUCCAUUCUCAACUUUGGGCAAUCAUUUAUUGACAACUUCUUAAGGUUAGGGAACAUGAAUUCUUUCUCAACAUCCUUGCCAUUGGAGUACAUCGUCUUCCAUGCUUCCAGAUUUUCCAUGUGGUAUAGACAAAAUCUCUUAAGCUGAGGGAAGGCUCUUGCGCCACCACAAAAAUCCUCUUCGAUGGUCG